GGAAAAUGCUCCCAGACACCAAAACUUCUGCCUCUUCACAUAUCACAACAGCAACAUUCAGUAGCAUUCCAGAGGAUCCUGGGCUUCAGGUCUUCUCUUCUUUAUGGAAGACAAACGAGGAAAGAAAGGAGUUAGAGCCUCUCCAUAUGCUCAUCUGCAACCAAAGUUCCCAUCUCGGAUCAGAGGUCCUCUGGCAGCUGGU
rnacentral:lncRNA from 1 species